rnacentral:rRNA from 1 species
CCUACGGGGGGCUGCAGUGGGGAAUAUUGGACAAUGGGGGGAACCCUGAUCCAGCCAUGCCGCGUGUGUGAAGAAGGCCCUCGGGUUGUAAAGCACUUUCAGUGAGGAAGAACGCCUGGUGGUUAAUACCCAUCAGGAAAGACAUCACUCACAGAAGAAGCACCGGCUAACUCCGUGCCAGCAGCCGCGGUAAUACGGAGGGUGCGAGCGUUAAUCGGAAUUACUGGGCGUAAAGCGCGCGUAGGUGGCUUGAUAAGCCGGUUGUGAAAGCCCCGGGCUCAACCUGGGAACGGCAUCCGGAACUGUCAAGCUAGAGGGCAGGAGAGGAAGGUAGAAUUCCCGGUGUAGCGGUGAAAUGCGUAGAGAUCGGGAGGAAUACCAGUGGCGAAGGCGGCCUUCUGGACUGACACUGACACUGAGGUGCGAAAGCGUGGGUAGCAAACAGGAUUAGAUACCCUUGUAGUC